rnacentral:lncRNA from 1 species
ACCCCUUCUUAACCACUAAACAACAAUACACAAACCAAAGUUCAAACGUACCUUAACAACGUAAUAACACUUGGUGCAUGCAUGCAUCAUCAGUUAGAUGCAUGCAAAUCGAUCGAUCGCAUCCUAUACCAUCAUACAUUAUAAGCAGCCAUUGCAGCUACUUACUAGGCGUCCAUGCGCGCCGGGUACUGGUCGACGCAGUCGAGCCAGGGGCUGCGCGCGGGGCGGCGCACGCGGCGCACGGCGCGCCACACCGCGCUGUUGCACUUGAAUCCUGACCCGAAGGCGAGCUGCCAGACGCGGUCGCCCCGGCGGACCCGGCCCUUGGCCUCCAGGUACGCCAGCUCGUACCAGAUGCUGCUGCUGGAGGUGUUGCCGAAUCGGUGCAGCGCGGCGCGGGAGGCCUCCAGGUCGGAGUUGCGCAGGCCCAGGUUGCUCUGCAGGUGCUCCAGCACGUCGCGGCUGGCCGCGUGCAUGCAGAAGUGCUCGAACGCGCGCUUGAAGUCCGGGAUGUAUGGCGCGGCGGCGGAGGCGUCCCCCGGCGUGGUCGGCGGCGGCGGCGUGGAGGCCUUGGACGGGAACAGGUGGCGGAACAGCACGCCCGCGAAGAAGAGCAGCUGCUCCGAGAAUGGCAGCACCAGGGGCCCCAGCGUGGUGAUGUUGGUCUUGAGCGCGUGCCCGCCCACCUCCAGCAGGUCGCGGCUGAUGGACAGGCCCUUGAUCCGCUGCUCGUCUUCCUCCUGGUACACGGAGCGGAAGGCGCGGUCGUCGGCGCCCUUGUGCGUGCGCACCACGUGCUCCAGCUGGUACUUGGCGCGGUGGAAGUCGCGGCGCCGGUUGGACAGCAGCACCGCCGCGCACCCGGCGCGGAAGAAGGCGUUGGGGAUGAGCAUGGAGCGACGCUUCCCGGGGUACCACGUGAAGGAGACGG